rnacentral:tRNA from 1 species
GGUCAUGGCUCAGUGGUAAAGCGCUUGCCUAGCAUGUGUGAGGCACUGGGUUCUAUUCUCAGCACCG